rnacentral:rRNA from 1 species
GACGAACGCUGGCGGCGUGCCUAAUACAUGCAAGUAGAACGCUGAAGAGAGGAGCUUGCUCUUCUUGGAUGAGUUGCGAACGGGUGAGUAACGCGUAGGUAACCUGCCUUGUAGCGGGGGAUAACUAUUGGAAACGAUAGCUAAUACCGCAUAACAAUGUAUGACACAUGUCAUUUAUUUGAAAGGGGCAAUUGCUCCACUACAAGAUGGACCUGCGUUGUAUUAGCUAGUAGGUGAGGUAACGGCUCACCUAGGCGACGAUACAUAGCCGACCCGAGAGGGGGGACCGCCACAAUGGGACCGGGAAACGGCCCAGACUCCCACGGGGAGGAACCGGAGGGAAUCCUCGGGCAUGGGGGGAACGCUGGACGGGGAACGGCGGGGGGGGGAAGGAAGUUUUCGGGUCGUAAAGCUCUGGUGAAAGGCGAGGACGAAAUGGGGAGUGGAAAAUGCACGUCGUGACGGUAGCUUACCAGAAAGGCACGGCUAACUACGUG